rnacentral:rRNA from 1 species
CUACGGGCGGCUGCAGUGAGGAAUAUUGCACAAUGGGGGGAACCCUGAUGCAGCAACGCCGCGUGGAGGAUGACGCAUUUCGGUGUGUAAACUCCUUUUAUAUGUCAAGAAAAUGACGGCAGCAUAUGAAUAAGCACCGGCUAACUCCGUGCCAGCAGCCGCGGUAAUACGGAGGGUGCAAGCGUUACUCGGAAUCACUGGGCGUAAAGGACGCGUAGGCGGGUUGGAAAGUCAGGUGUGAAAUCCUACAGCUUAACUGUAGAACUGCACUUGAAACUUCUAAUCUAGAGUAUGGGAGGGGGAGAUGGGAUUAGUGGUGUAGGGGUAAAAUCCGUAGAUAUCACUAGGAAUACCUAAAGCGAAGGCGAUCUCCUGGAACAUUACUGACGCUAAGGCGUGAAAGCGUGGGGAGCAAACAGGAUUAGAUACCCCUGUAGUC